rnacentral:misc_RNA from 1 species
CCCGUAUACUAUUACUACCAAUCUCGAUCGAUCGGGCGCACCAUGGCUGCUCGCUACACCUACACCUACGGCGACGGCCCGGGCGGGAGCUCCUGCUUAAGGAUCGGGCUGACCGCGCUGCCGUGCUCCGGCGUGGCGCUCCGCCUCAGCGCCGUCAUCGACUGCACCCCGGGCAAGGACCGCAUGCCGCCGGUCACCGUCGACUUCCUCAAGAACCUGCCGCUGCAGCAGAGAGAGGCCGAGGCCCCGGCAGCCGUCGCCGCCCAGGUGACGACGGGCCGCUUCACGUGCAGCAGCGGCGACUUCCUCCUCGUCAGCCAGAUCCAGCGGGUGGAGGCGAUGGUCGCGGCCGCGGGGCUGCCCCGGGAGUGCGCUCUCAGCGUGGAGGAGUUCUUCCGCCUGUCCGCCUCCAACGCCGUUAACACGUUCUACAAGGCGAUGGCGAUCACCGUGGAGGCGGGCGCGCUCGGGAGCAUCGUCGUGGACGAGCACCAGCACGAGCACGAGGAGCUGCCGCCCGGCGCCGUCGUCGGGGAGUGCGCCAUAUGCUACAAUGAGUAUCUGGUCGGCGGAGCCACGUCCGUGAAGCUGCUGUGCGGCCACACGUUCCACCGCAGGUGCAUGGACCGCUGGACGGCCGUGAACCGGACGUGCCCCUACUGUCGGGCGCCGGUGCCGGAGGAGAAGCAGGACUGCUGGGACGAGGACGAUUAUUGCGACGACUCGGUGUCGGAGUACGACGAGGAGGACGACGGCGCCUCGACGGUGCCCGGCCGACCGCAGUAGCCAGGAAUUCACGGCCUCUCCGCCUUACUCGACUUGGAGAAGAACAUCAGUGUCCCAACUUUUGUUCAUACUUGGAGAAGAACAUCAGUGUCUAAGGCCUUUUCAGGAAAAAAAGAAACAUGAGCUAGUUUAAUUAGUUUGAUGCUUGUUGCGCGGCUGAAAUAUUUCUACUGCACGGAAGGCCGUCUAUCGGUACUGUUAUAGUAUAUUUGAUAGUCUAGAUAUUAUGUCUAGUACACUACCA